CUCUGCUCCGGGCAAGGCCUGGGUGAGGCGCUGGAAUGGACAUGCAGCAGAAUCAGCUGGGACCAGCCUCACAGUAGAGACACAUCAAGUUCACAAAUGACCAAAGGGAAAGCAAGGAGGGCGACACUGAAGAUGAGAUGAGCGGAAGAGCACACCUGGAUGGAGACAACUGGCAAAGGAGCCUUGCUAUUGGGAUCCCUGAGUCGGGGACAGGCAGGGAAGGAGGAAGAACGGACAUAACAAUAUUUUCCAGUUUUAAGUGAUGGUGUGUCCUCACUGGAAAAACAGGCAUGUCAGGCACAAAGGCCCAGAUGAUUAUUGUCUUCUUAUGGAGGAGCAUUAAAAAGCAGUUCU